UACCCAUGAUGUGGGCAUGCAGUCUCGUACUCCUUGAGGCACUCCCAAGCUUCAGCAAUAGUAUUGUCAUUAUGCUGUUUGAAGCUUGUAAUCUGGUUCCACAACUA